rnacentral:rRNA from 1 species
UAAACGCUGGCGGCGUGCAUAACACAUUCAAGUCGAACGGGAAUUUAACGAUUGAAGCUUCGGAUGAAGUGUGAUAUGACUUAGUGGCGGACGGGUGAGUAACGCGUGAGUAACCUGCCUUUCAGAGGGGGAUAACGUUUGGAAACGAACGCUAAUACCGCAUGACAUUAUCGUAUCGCAUGAUAUGAUAAUCAAAGAUUUAUCGCUGAAAGAUGGACUCGCGUCUGAUUAGCUAGUUGGUGAGGUAACGGCUCACCAAGGCGACGAUCAGUAGCCGGACUGAGAGGUUGAACGGCCACAUUGGGACUGAGACACGGCCCAGACUCCUACGGGAGGCAGCAGUGGGGAAUAUUGCACAAUGGGCGCAAGCCUGAUGCAGCAACGCCGCGUGAGGGAAGACGGUCUUCGGAUUGUAAACCUUUGUCUUUGGUGAAGAAUAAUGACGGUAGCCAAGGAGGAAGCCACGGCUAACUACGUG